rnacentral:rRNA from 1 species
CCUACGGGGGGCAGCAGUGAGGAAUAUUGGUCAAUGGCCGGAAGGCUGAACCAGCCAUGCCGCGUGAAGGUCAGUGCCCUAUGGGCGUUAAACUUCUUUUGUGCGGGAGCAAUAAUGGUCACGUGUGGCCAGACGAGAGUACCGUACGAAUAAGCAUCGGCUAACUCCGUGCCAGCAGCCGCGGUAAUACGGGGGAUGCAAGCGUUAUCCGGAUUUAUUGGGUUUAAAGGGUGCGUAGGCUGUGAGGUGAGUCAGCGGUGAAAGUCUGUGGCUCAACGAGUGAAGUGCCGUUGAUACUGGGAGGCUUGAGUGCGGAUGAGGUAGGAGGAAUGUGUGGUGUAGCGGUGAAAUGCUUAGAUAUCACGCAGAACACCGAUUGCGAAGGCAGCCCGCGAAGCCACGACUGACGCUGAUGCACGAAAGCGUGGGGAUCAAACAGGAUUAGAUACCCGGGUAGUC